rnacentral:lncRNA from 1 species
GCAGUUUGAAAGUCAUGCCUUCGUCAGGCAUCACAUGGAUGUUCUAUGAAGCAUGGAAAGAAAUUCUGCAAGUGGACUUACCUCACCUCUAACAAGUAACAGAUUGCUGCAAAGACUGCCUCAUUCCGAUGGCAUGGAUGUUCUAUGAAGCAUGGAAAGAAAUUCCUCUAAGUGGACUUACCUCACCUCUAACAAAUAACAUAUUGCUGCAAAGACCGUCUCAUUCCGAUCACAUGGAUGUUCUAUAAAGCAUUGAAAGAAAUUCUGCAAGUGGACUUACCUCGCCUCUAACAAAUAACAGAUUGCUGUAAUGACUGCCUCAUUCCGAUUGCAUGGAUGUUCUAUGAAGCAUGGAAAGAAAUUCUGCAAGUGGAUUUACCUCAUCUGUAACAAAUAACAGAUUGCUGCAAUGACAGCCUCAUUCCAAUCGCAAUACGGCUAGCGUGUGGACGGC